UCUCUAUGAACAUUCUGCAUUCAGUCUAUUAACAAGUGUAGUAAAGUGACCCCUUCUGUUCAAAGUUAGCUAUUGCAUAUAGUAUUGUUUAAGUCUUUAUAUGAUGACAUCAUAAUUGUGAGCCUAGUUUUAGCAGCAGCAAGGAAGAGCAUUCGGUCAUGGCUAAUAUUGCUCCUUGAUUUAAGUUGAUUUGAAGGCACUUUCGUUUUACGUUAUUCCUUGGACAGCAGUAAAGCUUGAAUACAAUUCCUGUGUCUGUUGUCUUUGGGAGACGUUAUCUGACUGCAGACUCAAACAAGGCGUUUGGGAUAAAGGGCAGAACAAGAUACCUCAGGAUUUUUCAAAACAUGCAGGGCUGAAGAUUCUGAAGCGCCUGAUGUUGGUAAUUCACCAGUUGCCAUCUUGACAGCAGUCAGAGAACUCCCAGAUGCUGUAAUGCACUACAAUCUGGUCAGAGUUUCUGUUGUUCUUGAAAAUGAAGUCAUCGCCCAGGCUUUCCGAUGCAUUUAUUUUUACUUUUGGACUAAUCUAUGCAUUGAAUCUUAGUUAUCCAAAAGAGAUGUCCAACACUUUUGAAUUCAUUCAGAAGGUCCUUUUGGGCCUUGAUGAUGGGAAACUCAAGCCAAGAGUGCUUGCUCUGAAGAAUGAUUUGCUGCGUUAAAUGGUAAAAUAAAUGCCAAUUGUUCUGUUCAUGUUUUGAUUUGAGGCAUAACUACUGGCAGUUUACUAUGUUAAAGCACACAGACAUGUGAAAGUUAUUUCUGAGUUUCCUUUUGAACAGUUGCUGUUGUGAGGACCAUUGUAAAAUGUUAUAGACUCCAAUAGUCUCAAAAGCUGAAAUCUUGUUCAGACAUUGUAAAGACAAAUGUUUUUCAAAGAAUAUGAAUUUGAAGGAGAUGCAAUAGUGGUACACAUUUUACCUUGAUUGGUAGCU